rnacentral:lncRNA from 10 species
CUGGCCCUGAAGCCUCUCUGGGAAUUCCCUGCAUUAGUGCUCUUGCAAGAAAAAGGGGCAGCCUAUAGGUUAAUCAAGCAUUUUUUCCUCAAAUGCUACUGAAAGACCAAGUGUAAACCAGUACCAGAAAGCAUCCCCUAACCCCAUCCCAGAAAUAUGCCAGCCCUGUGCCCACCCUGUGCCCCUCCUCACCAGCAUCUGCACAUUCCCUACAUAUUCUCUUUAGUGGAGCCUAACCUCUAGUUCUAAUAUAGUUCUAAUUUAGUUUGCAUCUCUGAUAUAUUUUCCUGGCACUUGGGAAGGGGUGUUGUACAGAUAAAAUGGGUAGAAAAGUCACCCUGUUGUUUUUCAUUGUCGCGGGUUAUCUGAGAAGAAAUAAACAAGCAACCAGAAAGGAAUACCAGGGAUGACUUGGGAAUCACAGAUGUCAAGCUUGCAGCUAUCAGAUGCUCUUGGGAUCUUUCUCAAGUUCUCAGCUGCUCAGUUGUAUGCCCAGCUUCCCUGGAAAAGUCUGACCAACAGAGUGGUCAUAGGCCCAGCUGAACACUGGUCAACAAAAAUGUCCUGCCCAUGUCUGGUGCUAGGCCAAU